UACGGGGGGAGCAAGCGUUGUUCGGAUUUACUGGCGUAAAGGGCGCGUAGGCGGUCAGCACAAGUCAGUUGUGAAAUCUCCGGGCUUAACUCGGAAAGGUCAACUGAUACUGUGCGACUAGAGUGCGGAAGGGGCAACUGGAAUUCUCGGUGUAGCGGUGAAAUGCGUAGAUAUCGAGAGGAACACCUGCGGCGAAGGCGGGUUGCUGGGCCGACACUGACGCUGAUGCGCGAAAGCCAGGGAGCGAACGGG
rnacentral:rRNA from 1 species